UACGUAGGGGGCAAGCGUUAUCCGGAUUUACUGGGUGUAAAGGGAGCGUAGACGGCCAGACAAGUCUGAAGUGAAAAUCCAGCGCUUAACGCUGGAAGUGCUUUGGAAACUGCCGGGCUGGAGUGCAGGAGGGGCAGGCGGAAUUCCUAGUGUAGCGGUGAAAUGCGUAGAUAUUAGGAGGAACACCAGUGGCGAAGGCGGCCUGCUGGACUGCAACUGACGUCGAGGCUCGAAGGCGUGGGGAGCAAACAGG
rnacentral:rRNA from 1 species